AAUCAUUUUAUGGUGCCAAAAUUUAAUAGAUUUAAUAUAACUAUUCAUUCUUUUCCAACAUGUUUAUUCCUUAGUAGAUAUAUUCAUGCUGUCAGGGCCCGUACAAAGCAGGUUCAGUGCAUUCGCCGGAACCCGGUCCCGCGUUUUGAGAGGCCCCGUGGUUUACGAAAAUUACCCAAUUAAAAAACACCGAGUUUGAUUAACUUUUUACAGGAUGAUGAUACCAUUAACAGAUGCAUGAUGAUUCUGUCAAUAGAAAGUGAAGUAGCAAAUUCAAUCGAUUUUGAUGAUGUUAUCAAAGAUUUGGCGUCGAAAAAAGCGAGAAAAAUUAUUUAAUAUUAUUAUUGGAUUGUAUUAUUAUUUAAUAUUCAUCUUAUAAAAAAU
rnacentral:lncRNA from 1 species